UACAGAGGGUGCGAGCGUUAAUCGGAAUUACUGGGCGUAAAGCGAGCGUAGUCGGUUAUUUAAGUCGGGUGUGAAAGCCCCGGGCUCAACCUGGGAAUUGCAUUCGAUACUGGAUAGCUAGAGUUCGGCAGAGGGAAGCGGAAUUUCCGGUGUAGCGGUGAAAUGCGUAGAUAUCGGAAGGAAUACCGAUGGCGAAGGCAGGUCUCUGGGCUGAUACUGACGCUCAUGCACGAAAGCGUGGGGAGCAAACAGG
rnacentral:rRNA from 1 species